rnacentral:rRNA from 1 species
UGGGGAAUAUUGGACAAUGGGCGAAAGCCUGAUCCAGCCAUGCCGCGUGUGUGAAGAAGGUCUUCGGAUUGUAAAGCACUUUAAGUUGGGAGGAAGGGUUGUAGAUUAAUACUCUGCAAUUUUGACGUUACCGACAGAAUAAGCACCGGCUAACUCUGUGCCAGCAGCCGCGGUAAUACAGAGGGUGCAAGCGUUAAUCGGAAUUACUGGGCGUAAAGCGCGCGUAGGUGGUUAGUGAAGUUGGAUGUGAAAUCCCCGGGCUCAACCUGGGAACUGCAUUCAAAACUGACUGACUAGAGUAUGGUAGAGGGUGGUGGAAUUUCCUGUGUAGCGGUGAAAUGCGUAGAUAUAGGAAGGAACACCAGUGGCGAAGGCGACCACCUGGACUGAUACUGACACUGAGGUGCGAAAGCGUGGGGAGCAAACA